CCCCAUGAAAUGUCAAGAAGGCCAACAAAACCAUGAACAUUUGCAUAAUUAGUAUAAAUGAUUAUUAUAUCUGCAUAACCUGCUGCUGACUUAUUUAUUCCAUGCUUUAUUGCAUCUUCAAGAUUUAGACUGUGCUAGAAUAUAUACACACAAGAAUAUGUAAUAGGAUAUACAAAUAAGAUUCUGCAUGAAUAGAUUGGGUCUAAUCUCGUAUUAAUUUCGUCAAUUACAAGGAAAGAUGUUUGGCUGACAGAGAUCAGCCUGGUUUUGAGAUCUACAGUAGCCGCUCAUAUAAGCAGCCCUAAAUUAGAAUAUCUACAAUCCUGGAAAAAAUUAUUGUGGACAGUGUGCGCAAAAAUACAAAUACCUGCCUUGGCCAAACAUACAUGCAAAAACAGCAUUUUUUGACUGUUGAAAAGCUUCUAGAUCGGUUAGGCGAAAGCUCUGUGACUGACGGGGGAGAUGAAGAUGCCAAUAUGUGUAUGUGAACAGUAAUACUUUAAUCGUUCACACCUAUAAGUGUCCACAGAAUUUUUGCCAUGAUUGUAGCUAUGGGUGGAAGCAAAACUGUGAAAUACAUAUUCAAAUAUAUUCAACAGCAUAAUGUUUUGUUGCCCAAUUUGACAAAGUAAUACUUUAUAUGUUGUUAUGCUGGGUUUUUUUCCAGCUUGACAGUAAACAAGCUGUUUGUUUUGUUUUAUAACCUGUUAGAAAUAAGGAAAAAUACAUGAGUCCCCAGGCAGCUGUGCUUGGAUCUUAACCCUUUAAAGUAGUUGCAUUGCUCCCCAAUGCACCCUACUUUAUUAGUCUACUCUGUCUAAUGCCAGACAAUUUUACUCGUCAAGUGGAAAGUGCUGGUGCU